UUCUAUUACCGAAAUUUAUUUAUUCAAUUGAAUGUGAUGAAAUUUCAAUUAAUAAAAAAAUGUUAUAACUUGAAACAAUGGUUGAUAGAAAUUUACUAUACAUUUGAUUGUUUACGUCAAUUUAAAAGUAUUAGAAAAAAUUAAUUGAAAUGUGAUAUUUUUAGUAACACCGUAUGUAAUUAGAUGCGAACCAGACAUAACAUUUAUUUCAAUAUGUAGAUUUCAAUAUAUUAAACCUUUGCAAUUUGGCCAUCUCGGAAUAUUCUGUACAUCCAUAGAUUUAACAAAAUUCUUUUUACUUCUGAAAUUAAGAUUUUACUGACUCAAACUUAAAUGAUGCUGAUCUACAUUUAACUAAUUCAUAAGAAGUUGUUGUGUAUUCCUGAGGUGUCGUAGGAUUCCAUGCCAUGCAAGUAAUAGAUGAUGGAAUUUUCACAUAGCCAAUAGGUAUAAUUGUAGGAUAAUUAUUAAUAGUAUGAAUAU